GACGAACGCUGGCGGCGUGCUUAACACAUGCAAGUCGAGCGGUAAGGCCCUUUCGGGGGUACACGAGCGGCGAACGGGUGAGUAACACGUGGGUGACCUGCCUUUAGCUCUGGGAUAAGCCUGGGAAACUGGGUCUAAUACCGGAUAUGACUCCGCGGUGCAUGCUGUGGGGUGGAAAGCCUUGUGCGGCUGGAGAUGGGCCCGCGGCCUAUCAGCUUGUUGGUGGGGUGANGGCCUACCAAGGCGACGACGGGUAGCCGGCCUGAGAGGGCGACCGGCCACACUGGGACUGAGACACGGCCCAGACUCCUACGGGAGGCAGCAGUGGGGAAUCUUGCGCAAUGGGCGAAAGCCUGACGCAGCGACGCCGCGUGAGGGA
rnacentral:rRNA from 1 species